rnacentral:lncRNA from 1 species
AUGGCGAGUGUGUUUACAGCAGGAACCGAGAAUCAAACUGCGCUCGCUGUGCAUGGACGAGUGUGUUUAACAGCAAGGAAACCGGAGAAUCAAACUGCGCUCGCUGUGUUUAACGUUACAUACACAGAUGAAAGAGAAGAUGUUCAAAAGAAAACCUUCACGAAAUGGAUAAACUCACAGUUUGCUAAGACAGGAAGACCCCCUAUCGAUGACCUCUUCACUGACCUGUGUGAUGGCAGACGUCUUCUUGAACUCCUGGAGGGUCUGGUUGGCCAUGAAAUAGUUAAAGAACGUGGUUUCACUCGAGUGCACUCCCUCAACAAUGUUAACAGGGCCCUGCAGAUCCUUCAGAAGAACAAUGUUGAGCUGGUGAACAUUGGAGGAGCUGACAUUGUAGAUGGAAAUCAUAAACUGACCCUGGGGCUGAUUUGGAGCAUCAUUCUCCACUGGCAGGUUAAGGAUGUGAUGAAAGAUGUCAUGGCAGACCUACAGCAGACAAACAGUGAAAAGAUUCUGUUAAGUUGGGUCAGGCAGUCUACUAAAAACUACAAAGACCUCAAUGUGGUCAACUUCUCCAGCAGCUGGGCCGAUGGUUUUGCCUUCAAUGCUCUCAUUCACAGCCACAGGCCGGAACUGUUUAACUGGAGUGUGGUGGAGCAACAGGAUAAUGCCACUGAGAGACUGGAUCACGCCUUCAACGUUGCGGAGAAGAGUUUAGGCAUCGAACGACUGUUGGACCCUGAGGAUGUUGCUACAGCUCAUCCAGAUAAGAAAUCCAUCAUUAUGUACGUCACCUCCCUGUUCCAAGUGCUGCCCCAUGGCGUGAGCAUGGAGGCCAUCCAAGAAGUGGAGACCCUCCCUCGAGCUACAGUAACCAAGGAGGAGCACUUCCUCUUUCAAACCCAACAGCGUUACUCCCAGCAGAUUACAGUCAGUGUGGCCCAGAGUCGUGUCCGCAGCCCAUCUCCCUCUUAUAAGCCUCGAUUCAAAAGCUAUGCCUUCACUCAAGCUGCCUACGUCAAGACGCCUGAACAGCAGAGGAAGUUCCUCACCUCACAGUCUCCAGACAAGACCGAUGAACUGCGACCGUCCCCCAGUCCCCUGCCACAGGGGCUAAAUGAGCUGGAAAGCUACCAGAGUGCCCUGGAGGAGGUCCUGACCUGGCUGCUCUCCGCGGAGGACGGCUUGCAAGCACAGCCACCCAUCUCCUCUGUUGUCGAAGAAGUCAAAGAGCAGUUUCACACCCAUGAGGUAAUUUACAAGACCGAUGAACUGCGACCGUCCCCCAGUCCCCUGCCACAGGGGCUAAAUGAGCUGGAAAGCUACCAGAGUGCCCUGGAGGAGGUCCUGACCUGGCUGCUCUCCGCGGAGGACGGCUUGCAAGCACAGCCACCCAUCUCCUCUGUUGUCGAAGAAGUCAAAGAGCAGUUUCACACCCAUGAGGUAAUUUGCUAG